UAUAUGCUUACUAUUUAUACAUGCAUCAAGAUGUGCAGAUCUAUUGCAUUUGAAAGUGAGCUAGCUAGGGGAGGCUCCCUGGAUUGGAGAACCAUCAUUGAGUGCAGCGUAGAUGAAAUCCUACAUUUUGUGCUAUUAAACUGUUACCAACCCUUUGUGGGGCAUGGCAUCAUUUCAUCAGCGCUGCAUUCAAUCAUGUUUUUCUAACUCCUCCAGGCAUGGUUUUGCGUGCAUGUAUCAAAGGGUACUUGUGAAGAAACUUUUUGUUGGAUUUUAAAGGAAAGUGCCGUUGUGGUGCGAAACAGGCAUUUGCGUGGUCUGUGGAGCUCACUAUUAAUGAUCCAUGUCUACUGUAGCUGUUCCUGUGAAGCCUAACUUUGUUUCAUUUUCUUUCGAUAUAUGUAAAAAGCACAUGGAGAGUGAAGUGAAGUAUUUUUACACCAAUUACAAUGAUCCACAGCCUCCUUCACCAUAAAAUGCACAAUUAUUCUUAUAUGUCUUUUGUGCAAACCUCAUAUUUGUCCCCCAACUAUCUAUUGAUUCUCAUCUAGGUCCCCAAACUAUCAAUUUUCUCAAUGUCUAUUAAUGAUUAAAUGUGUAAGUUGCAUAUAUGACACAAACUGUAGGUGUGGAUUGAGGAAAGUUUGGUAAAUCAUCAUGGAAAAGUGGGAGGAUUUUAAAUGGGGACCAAUUGAGAAUGCAUGAUAACUUUGCUGACCCAAUUGAUAAAAUUAAUAGUUGGGGACUACAUUGAGAGUCUGUUCAUAGCUAGGCAACUAGUUUGCAGUCUCUCUUUUUUCUGAACAUUUCUUUUCUUUGAAUGAAUCCAGUCCAGGGAGCCACAAAACCAGUUGCAGGCUUAUUUUCCAGACUGAUCAUGCAGUGCAGGCGCACUGAUCAUCAGAAUAAACACAAAUUAGAUUAACCUUUUUUUCUCUGUCAGCUGACCUACUGCUCAUCAGAAUUAACAUAAAUUAGAGAAACUUUUUCAUUUAUUUUUUCUCUGUCCUUCCCAUUUAAAAAGUUUCAAGAAGAUGCUAAGAUUGCAACAGUUUUUGAGGUUCACAAAAGAACCACCAUGUGCCAUAUCCUUGUACUGUCCCAUGUAUUGCUAGAAACUUGAAAGGCAUCUUGAAGCAUUGGAAUCAGAAAUACGAGGGCCCAAUGGUACGAGACAAGUCAAAUCUCUACAUAUUUUUAGUUCAGUUUUUGGAUGCCUGGACAAGCUUCAAGCAUGGCAUAGCAAAUGCACCUCUUCCUUUAUCCCACCACAUCUUUUCUUUUCAUUCACCCAUUUUUAGGUCCCGUGUAAGUUCUAAGCAUGAUAGAAUCUAAAAUAACGUUUAAUUACAGCUUUGAAAUAAAUAAAAAAUAAAGACAUUCAA